AUGAACGCUGGCGGCGUGCCUAAUACAUGCAAGUCGAGCGAACAGACGAGGAGCUUGCUCCUCUGACGUUAGCGGCGGACGGGUGAGUAACACGUGGAUAACCUACCUAUAAGACUGGGAUAACUUCGGGAAACCGGAGCUAAUACCGGAUAAUAUAUUGAACCGCAUGGUUCAAUAGUGAAAGACGGUUUUGCUGUCACUUAUAGAUGGAUCCGCGCCGCAUUAGCUAGUUGGUAAGGUAACGGCUUACCAAGGCAACGAUGCGUAGCCGACCUGAGAGGGUGAUCGGCCACACUGGAACUGAGACACGGUCCAGACUCCUACGGGAGGCAGUAGUAGGGAAUCUUCCGCAAUGGGCGAAAGCCUGACGGAGCAACGCCGCGUGAGUGAUGAAGGUCUUCGGAUCGUAAAACUCUGUUAUUAGGGAAGAACAAAUGUGUAAGUAACUAUGCACGUCUUGACGGUACCUAAUCAGAAAGCCACGGCUAACUACGU
rnacentral:rRNA from 1 species